GAUGAACGCUGGCGGCGCGCCUAACACAUGCAAGUCGAACGAUUAAAGCACCUUCGGGUGUGUAUAAAGUGGCGAACGGCUGAGUAACACGUGGGCAACCUGCCCCUCUCUUUGGGAUAGCCACGGGAAACCGUGCAUAAUACCGAAUACUUCGGGUCUUCCGCAUGGAAGUCUCGAGAAAGCCCCGGCGGUGAGGGAUAGUCCCGCGGCCUGCUAGCUAGCUGGUGGUGUAAUGGCCUACCAAGGCAAUGAGGGGUAGCUGGGUUGAGAGACCGACCAGGCAGCAGGGGACUGCGGCAGGGAGCAGUAGCCAAUGGGAGGCAGCGGUGGAGAGCCUGGCGGAACAGGCGAAAGCCAGAUGCAGAGACGUCGGGUGCGGAAUGAACGGCUACGGGUUGUGAACAGCUGUCAGCAGAGACGAGGACAAAGUGACGGUACCUGCAGAAGAAGCCCCGGCUAACUACGUG
rnacentral:rRNA from 1 species